rnacentral:rRNA from 1 species
GAUGAACGCUGGCGGCGUGCCUAAUACAUGCAAGUCGAGCGAACAGACGAGGAGCUUGCUCCUCUGACGUUAGCGGCGGACGGGUGAGUAACACGUGGAUAACCUACCUAUAAGACUGGGAUAACUUCGGGAAACCGGAGCAAAUACCAGUUAAUAUAUUGAACAUCAUGGUUCAAUAGAGAAAGACGGUUUUGCUGUCACUUAUAGAUGGAUCCGCGCCGCAUUAGCUAGUUGGUAAGGUAACGGCUUACCAAGGCAACGAUGCGUAGCCGACCUGAGAGGGUGAUCGGCCACACUGGAACUGAGACACGGUCCAGACUCCUACGGGAGGCAGCAGUAGGGAAUCUUCCGCAAUGGGCGAAAGCCUGACGGAGCAACGCCGCGUGAGUGAUGAAGGUCUUCGGAUCGUAAAACUCUGUUAUUAGGGAAGAACAAAUGUGUAAGUAACUAUGCACGUCUUGACGGUACCUAAUCAGAAAGCCACGGCUAACUACGUG